rnacentral:rRNA from 1 species
UACAGAGGGUGCAAACGUUGCUCGGAAUUAUUGGGCGUAAAGCGCGUGUAGGCGGCCUGCUAAGUCGGCUGUGAAAGCCCAUGGCUCAACCAUGGAAGUGCAGCCGAAACUGACAGGCUCGAGUCCUGGAGAGGGUGGCGGAAUGCCCAGUGUAGAGGUGAAAUUCGUAGAUAUUGGGUAGAACACCGGUGGCGAAGGCGGCCACCUGGACAGCGACUGACGCUAAGACGCGAAAGCGUGGGGAGCGAACAGG